rnacentral:rRNA from 1 species
AUUGAACGCUGGCGGCAUGCUUUACACAUGCAAGUCGAACGGUAACAGGCCGCAAGGUGCUGACGAGUGGCGAACGGGUGAGUAAUGCAUCGGAACGUGCCCAGUCGUGGGGGAUAACGCAGCGAAAGCUGUGCUAAUACCGCAUACGAUCUAUGGAUGAAAGCGGGGGACCGUAAGGCCUCGCGCGAUUGGAGCGGCCGAUGUCAGAUUAGGUAGUUGGUGGGGUAAAGGCCUACCAAGCCGACGAUCUGUAGCUGGUCUGAGAGGACGACCAGCCACACUGGGACUGAGACACGGCCCAGACUCCUGCGGGAGGCAGCAGUGGGGAAUCUUGGACAAUGGGCGCAAGCCUGAUCCAGCAAUGCCGCGUGCAGGAAGAAGGCCUUCGGGUUGUAAACUGCUUUUGUACGGAACGAAAAGACUCUGGUUAAUACCUGGGGUCCAUGACGGUACCGUAAGAAUAAGCACCGGCUAACUACGUGACAGCCGCCGCAGUAAGAC